rnacentral:rRNA from 1 species
GACGAACGCUGGCGGCGUGCUUAACACAUGCAAGUCGAACGGAAAGGCCCUGCUUUUGUGGGUUGCUCGAGUGGCGAACGGGUGAGUAACACGUGAGUAACCUGCCCUUGACUUUGGGAUAACUUCAGGAAACUGGGGCUAAUACCGGAUAGGAGCUCCUGCUGCAUGGUGGGGGUUGGAAAGUUUCGGCGGUUGGGGAUGGACUCGCGGCUUAUCAGCUUGUUGGUGGGGUAGUGGCUUACCAAGGCUUUGACGGGUAGCCGGCCUGAGAGGGUGACCGGCCACAUUGGGACUGAGAUACGGCCCAGACGCCUACGGGAGGCAGCAGUGGGGAAUAUUGCACAAUGGGCGGAAGCCUGAUGCAGCAACGCCGCGUGCGGGAUGACGGCCUUCGGGUUGUAAACCGCUUUCGCCUGUGACGAAGCGUGAGUGACGGUAAUGGGUAAAGAAGCACCGGCUAACUACGUG